rnacentral:tRNA from 1 species
GUAGAGCAGAGGACUGAAAAUCCUCGUGUCACCAGUUCAAAUAAUA